UACGUAGGGUGCAAGCGUUAUCCGGAUUCACUGGGUUUAAAGGGUGCGUAGGCGGGUAUAUAAGUCAGUGGUGAAAGCUCCGGGCUUAACUUGGAAACUGCCAUUGAUACUGUAUAUCUUGAAUGUCGUUGAGGUUAGCGGAAUGUUGCAUGUAGCGGUGAAAUGCUUAGAUAUGUUACAGAACACCAAUUGUGAAGACAGCUAACUAAGCGAUGAUUGACGCUGAGGCACGAAAGCGUGGGGAGCAAACAGG
rnacentral:rRNA from 1 species